GUUGAUGCAGCCUCUGAGGGAUCUGGCCCAUCUACUUGUGAUCAUUACGACUGUGGCAUAGAUAUAUGGAAGUGUUUAACAGACCACUCUGUGAUCAACCUGAAAAAGACAACUCGGAUUAUUUAACAAAUCAGAGGAUGGAAUGUAGAGAUUAUUUUCAUUCUCUGUGUGUACUGGAGCGUACCUUUAAUUCUGUGUUUUCAGAAUAAAAAAAAAAUGAAACUUAUCGGGCUUUGAAAAGCCUGAACUGAAAAUCAUAUUUUGUUGAAAUAGGGCAUUUCUCUUUGUUGUGAGAUAGUGCAUUGGAUGUAUACUCUGAUGUUAUGUGGAUUAGCAUUUCUCAUGAACAAUUGGAUUUAAUUUCAUUGGAUUAUGAUAUGUUGAGUGCUUCUGUUGACCAUGUAUAGUGGAUGUAUAGUAACACUGCCUGGCUGUAGUGUUACCUACUAUUUAUUGCGGCCUUGGCCACUUCAUUGUGUGGCGGGGGACCACUCGUGGAUUCAUUAUUAGUGCUGUUGUAAAUACCCGUCCCUGUUUAUCCAAUUAAGGUCACAUUGACACGGUGCAGACGUGUGAGGAUUUCCCAUUGGCUAUGUACUCGUCAUGAAAAUCAUGUCAUUGAUGUAAAUUUGUGGUCCUUUUUUUUUUUUUUAUUAAUAUCAUUAUUAAUAUAAAAUAUUAAACCAACAUGAUUGUAUUGUACAAAAAAAAUUGACUGUAUAGUUUGUAUUGUGUAAAAAAAAAAGUGAUGACAAUAAUUUGUACAUACUAGUAUGCUUAUGGUGUUACAAAUAGUUUUAAAUGUUGAUAUAACUUAUAGUGUCUGUGAUAAGUCAAUUUCUAUGAAUUGUUUGAAUUAGUGGCUGGUACAGUGUGUACGUGUGUGUGUGUCUGUCUGUAGGCCACCAUGUGGAGUACCCGCCUCAGGUUUGGUGUUCCCUCUUCAUCCUUGUUAUGUGUAUGUGGAAAUCUGUAUGUGUGGAGUUUGUAUUUGGAGUCUGUAUGUGGAGUGUGGAGUCUCCUAUGUGCAGAGUCUCUAUGUGGAGACUGUAGGAGGACUCCACUAUUUGAGUGGUCACUGUGCAGUAGAGGUGAUAGUCAGACUCAGUAUGAACUUGUCUAAGGUCUGGUUUUUUCUGUAAUGAUGGAUUGACUUAAAAUAAUUCUCCCAUUUAUAAAAAGUCCUACAGAACAAAAUGUAUUGGAUUCCUAUUAUCAUUUGUAGAUUUUAUGUGAAAAUUGGAACUUUUAACAAAAUAAUAGAACAAGCUGACUUCUGUAAGAAUUAUUAUUGACUUGUAUGCUUGGAUGUUCAUCAUGUCUCAGAUCUCAUAAAGGCAGCUAUUUAUCACUUGAAUGACAUCAUGGAAUGAUUGAAGAAGAAUGUGUUGUUACGAGUCUGUAGUGUAUGUGUGUGUCAAUAUGGUUGUCUGGUUUGUAAAACUGUUGAUUUGUGUGUACAAAUAGAAACUAACAAAUUUCCAUCAAAUCUUCUGUGCUGGUCAUUAUGAGGUUUAUCUUCUGUCAAAUUUUCAAUUUUACCAUUUUGAAAUGCAAAAAAAAACCAACUUUUGGCUGAUGAUUGAAAUUUAGAUAUAAGAAAAAAAAAUUGUUCAUAUCUUGAGAAAAGUUUUGUUUUGAUUGUUUGGUGCUAUAUUGUGAUACUUUUUUCUUUCAAGUAAUGGUGUUCGUCCCUCAGUAACAACCCAACAGUAUCGUCUGUCCCAGACUAAAUUGCUUUAGUACAUCAAUCAUGAGCAUGAACCUCUGGCAAAGCAAAUAUAAUUCAUAUAUUCAACAAUUUUUUUCUUCAAAUAUUCCAGAUAUCAUAAAUUUGGUUUGGGUUUUUCUUAUUAAUCUGAAUUUACACAGUAAUAAAUGCAAUCGCAGAUACCUGGGGGAAGGAACGGCCAGACAUAGCUGGAUUUAAUGGUUAGAUCUAUCUUCCAUUGAGAGCAGAGUUUUAUUUUUGUAAACCUGUGUUAGUUUAACUAUUUUAUGUGGCUCAAUUGUAUAUAUCUCAUCCUCACUUUUGUCAAACUUUUCUUCAGAGAAUGCUUUAAGAGAAUAAAGUACAAGCUAAUGAUAUAAAAAUU
rnacentral:misc_RNA from 1 species